rnacentral:rRNA from 1 species
GACGUAGGGUGCGAGCGUUGUCCGGAUUUAUUGGGCGUAAAGAGCUCGUAGGCGGCUCGUCGCGUCGGUUGUGAAAACUCUAGGCUUAACCUGGAGCUUGCAACCGAUACGGGCGGGCUAGAGUUCGGUAGGGGAGACUGGAAUUCCUGGUGUAGCGGUGAAAUGCGCAGAUAUCAGGAGGAACACCGAUGGCGAAGGCAGGUCUCUGGGCAUUAACUGACGCUGAGGAGCGAAAGCAUGGGGAGCGAACAGG